AAGUCUGCUGUCAAUGAUUAGUUGCAUGACUGACUUCUUUGAAGAAAUCAACCACCAUUCGUCACUACCACUGAGACAGCAAGCAG